rnacentral:rRNA from 1 species
GAUGAACGCUAGCGGCAGGCUUAACACAUGCAAGUCGAGGGGUAUAGGUUUUCGGACCUAGAGACCGGCGCACGGGUGCGUAACGCGUAUGCAAUCUACCUUUCACAGGGGGAUAGCCCAGAGAAAUUUGGAUUAAUACCUCAUAGUAUAGCAGUUUCGCAUGAAACCACUAUUAAAGUAUCAACGGUGAAAGAUGAGCAUGCGUCCCAUUAGCUAGAUGGUAAGGCAACGGCUUACCAUGGCUACGAUGGGUAGGGGUCCUGAGAGGGAGAUCCCCCACACUGGUACUGAGACACGGACCAGACUCCUACGGGAGGCAGCAGUGAGGAAUAUUGGUCAAUGGACGCAAGUCUGAACCAGCCAUGCCGCGUGCAGGAUGACGGUCCUAUGGAUUGUAAACUGCUUUUGUACGAGAAGAAACAACAUUACGUGUAAUGUCUUGACGGUAUCGUAAGAAUAAGGAUCGGCUAACUCCGUGCCAGCAGCCGCAGUAAUAC